UUUACUUCCGUAAAGCAGGCAAUGGAUGCCUAGGGCGCUAAAGCCGAAGAAGGACGUACGUGGCCACGAUAGUCGUCGGGGAGCUGCCAAGAAGCUGUGAUCCGACGGUGUCCGAAUGGGGAAACCCCUCCUUUAAGGAGACUCCGAUGUUAUGUCGGGGGGGGCACGUCCCGAACUGAAACAUCUAAGUAGGGACAGGAAAAGAAAUCAAAGAGAUUCCGUAAGUAAGCGGUGAGCGAAAGCGGAAAAGCCUAAACCCAGUCAUUGUGCGCAAGUACUUCGACCGGGUGUUGCGGGAAGGCUGAGGGAUCAAACGAGGGUAGUCGAACUGUCUGGAAAGGCAGGCUAUAAAACGUGAUAGCCGUGUAGGCGAAACCCGAGUUUGCUUGAAGCCGAAUUCCCAAGUACCAUGAGGCAAAUACCUUGUGGGAAUCUGGGGUGACCACACUCCAAGGCUAAAUACUUUAGCGGACCGAUAGUGAACUAGUACCGUGAGGGAAAGGCGAAAAGAAGGGUGAGAAACCUAGUGAAAUAGAACCUGAAAUUGUCUGCUGUCAAGCAGACGGAGCCCCUCCGCAAGGUCGGGGUAACGUCGUGCCUAUUGAAGAAUGAUCCGGCGAGUUUUCGAUUGUUGCGAGUUUAAGCCCGUAAUUCGGGAUUAGGCGAAGCGAAAGCGAGUCUUAAUAGGGCGUUUAGCAGCAGUUGGAAGACCCGAAACCUGGUGAGCUAACCAUGAGCAGGGUGAGUCCCGGUGAAAACCGGGAGGAGGCCCGCACCCGUCAGAGUUACAAAUCUGUGGGACGACUUGUGGUUAGGGGUAAUAUGCCAAUCGAACCAGGAGAUAGCUGGCUCUCCCCGAAAUAUAUAUAGGUAUAGCCUCUCUCUAUAGUGCUUUUCAGGUAGAGCACUGGAUGGGUAUUGCAUCGCAAGAUGUGGUAUUCAAUCAAACUCCGAAUUGGAAAGCUUUUGGAGAGGGAGUCAGAACGACCCGGCUAAGCGGGCCGCUCUAAAGGGAAACAACCCAGACUGUCGUCUAAGGCCUCUAAAUAGAAGCUAAGUGUUGAACGUAGUUAAAUUCCUCAGACAGCCAGGAGGUUGGCUCAGAAGCAGCCAUCCUUUAAAGAAAGCGUAACAGCUCACUGGUCGACUUUUUGGAGUUUGGCGCGGAAAAUGAACCGAGGCUAAGCUUCUUGCCGAAGACACAGAUCGUGUGCAUGGCAUACGCAAAUUCAAAUCUCUGAAUUCUAAGCUCUAAUUGGCAGUUGGGGGUUGGAUAUUCGAUUUCUGGAUUUUCGUGUGCUGUGCGCAUGGUGGUAGGGGAGCGUUCCGUUAACAGUGAAGAUUUGCCGUGAGGCAGGUUGGAGUGGACGGAAGUGAGAAUGCCGGAAUGAGUAGCGCAAUGGUUGUGAGAAUCAACCACGCCGAAACCCCAAGGUUUCCUGGGCUACAUUGUUUGACCCAGGGUAAGUCGGCACCUAAGGUGAGUCCCUCGCUGAGCGAGGGGGUAGCUGAUGGACGAGCCGUGAAUAUUCGGCUACAUAGUAAGUAUCGCUAAAUCGCGCAAGCGAAUAACUAGGGAUGGACAAAAUGGGAAAGACCGAACGCAUAUAGUGAAUGUGUGUCGCAAUCAGUAAGGUAGUUGGGCUUGGAAAAUCCGGCCUGGCGUUUAACCGAGCUGUGAUGGGAAAUCUGGCGAGUAAUCAACGGAUGACUCGGUAAUUUUCUGUUUUCAAGAAAAGAUUCGUAGUGAGAUACUUAUUAUGCCGUACCGCAAACCGACACUGGUGGGGUGGUCGAGUAGACCAAGGCGAUCGGGAGAAGGCAGUUCAAGGAACUCGGCAAAAAAGCUGGACGUAAUUUAGAGAGAUGUCCUUCCGCUUAAAGCGGACGCAGCGAAAGAUUAUUUCCCGACUGUUUAACUAAAACACAGGUCUGUGCAAACUUGAAAGAGAAGGUAUACAGGCUGAGGCCUGCCCAGUGCUCGUAAGUUAAGUGGAUGGCUGAGAUUACAUCAAGGUUUGAAAUGAAGCUCGAGUGAACGGCAGCAGUAACUAUAACUGUUCUAUGGUAGCGAAGUUCCUCGACAGGGGACAAUCCAUUGAAAAAUGGAAAAGAAAACUUGGCUAUAUGCUGGAACAACUGGAGUAUCUUGUGAUACUAUCGCCCAACGGAUAAAGCAGUCUCUGGUAGGUAGUAAUAAAGCACAAGUGCAGUCAAUCAGCAGGAAAGACUCCGAUGUGACAUCGGAGGAUCCUCAACGACUACACGCCAAGCCCCCGGUGUAACACCGGGGUGAAGAUAUAGUCUGAACUUGCAGGCGACUGUAAGAGCCUUGAUUGGAACUAGAAAGGUAUCCUAAAAAAGGAUUAACAUAUUGUGUCGGGUAAGUUCCGACCCGCACGAAAGGUUUAACGAGGGAAUAACUGUCUUGAACUGUCACCCGGCGAAUUUGAAAUGGCUGUGAAGAUGCGGCCUAACUCUACUAGGACAAAAAGACCCUAUGGAGCUUUACUGUAACCAGGCCCUGUUUUGGAUUUUGAGAUAGUUUAGAGUAGGAGGGACUCCGGUGUCAUAACUGGAGAAAAGUGAAACACCUCCCGUUUUGAAAUCUCAAGACUUACCCAAGGAAGCUGGAGACGCUUUCGGAGACAAGGUCUGGCUGGCAGUUUUACUGGGGAGGUAUCCUGCUAAAAGGUAACGCAGGAGUACUAAGGUGCACUAAACUCGGAUGGAAAUCGAGCGGGUCGUGUAACGGCAUAAGUGCGCUUGACUGUGAGAGCGGCGGCUCGAGCAGGGACGAAAGUCGGUCGUAGUGAUCCUCCGUCGCGUUGUGGGACGCACGGAGCUUAACGGAUAAAAGCUACCCUAGGGAUAACAGGCUGAUCGCCGCCAAGAGUCCAUAUCGACGCGGCGGUUUGGCACCUCGAUAGACCCAAUCUGGGUCAAUGUCGCCCCCCGAAGUAAUUCGGGGAGGAAAAAUUCAGCUCAUAUCGGUGAAACCCGACUAGCGCACUGAGCCGCGCUAAGGGCAAUACCGAGGGAAGUCUUCGUGACCCCGUAACGACUUUCCGGUUUAGAAACCGGAAGAUUUUCCGCCGAUGGCGGGAGAUAACACGCUGAGCCCCUUCUAUGUAUAAAGCUACGAAGGGUGAUGGUAUAGUCUAUGCCGCUAGUAAUAGCGGGGAAACAUGGUCGGCUCAUCCUAUCCUGGAGGGGCAGUACCUUCCAAGGGUCGGGCUGUUCGCCCGUUAAAAGGGUACGCGAGCUGGGUUCAGAACGUAGGUGAUACUGCGUUUAACAACAGUAAUGUUGUUUUAGUUCUAGCUGUUUCGGUGAAGCCUAAAAUCGUAUUCCGAACGCGAUUAUGGUAAUACCGAGGGAAGCUUUCCAAAUGAAAGCAGAGAAAUUAUACUUAGUACGUGGAUCAGUUUCUUGAUGAUCUGAUUACGGGUAAGUUAUUAGGUGAUGGAAGUUUAGAAGAUCGGAGUCUGGCGAAUUCUCGAUUGCAGAUUAGACAUUCAAUCAAGCAAAAAGAAUAUGUCGAUUGGUGUUAUAUGCAUCUUAAAGAAUUUGCGGUUUCGAAACCAAAACAAAACCGAUUUUCUUAUUACUUCAGAUCUAAGAGUUUACCUAUGUUUACCAAAUUGAGAAAAAUAUGGUAUGUAAAUGGCAAAAAGAUCUUGCCGCUGCAUAUUAAAUUUACUCCGUUGGUAAUAAGUAUUUGGUAUAUGGACGAUGGUUAUUAUGACCGAACGCGAGAUUCUGUCUGGUUGUGUACGCACAACUUCGACUUACUUGAGAUAGAAAGACUACGAGUAGCGCUUGCUAGUUUUGAUAUUAAUAGUGGAAAAGUUAGAGAUAGAACUCACUAUAAAAUUAGAAUAUCCUCUAAGGAUACUUGCAAGUUUAUAGAAUUGGUCAGACCUCAUAUUUUGCCUUCAUUGCUGUAUAAAAUUGGAAUAGCCCCGUAGAGACUACACGCUAGCUCCCGUAACAGCGGGAUGAAGAUAUAGUCCAUGCCAACAGAAAUGUUUGGAAUUACAUGCGUGAGACAGUUCGGUCUCUAUCCAGUAGAGUCGUGGAGUUCUUGAGGGGGACUGACCUCAGUACGAGAGGACCAGGUUGGAGGUACCGCUGGUGUGCCGGUUGUAGCGUCAGCUGCAGCGCCGGGUGGCUAAGUACCUACGGGAUAACCGCUGAAAGCAUCUAAGUGGGAAGCCCUACCCAAGAUAAGGAACUCAUCCCGAUGCAAAUCGGGAGAAGACCCGGAGCAGACUACUCCGUAUAAGAGGCUGGCGGUGUAAGCACGGUAACGUGUUUAGCCUACCAGUACUAAUGGUCUAAUAGGAGUUUAUU
rfam:Microgenomates (Amesbacteria) bacterium GW2011_GWC1_48_10 TY22_C0014, whole genome shotgun sequence.